AUCAUGCCAGUGUCCAUUACUUCAAGAACAAAGACAUGAACAAGACUGAAGAGACCUUUGAGAUGCAACAUCCAUCUGAUGCCAAAAGAUCUGAGGACGUGAUCUACAGCUCAGUCAAAUGAAGAACAUGUGGUCGAGCCACAUCCUAUUGAUGAUUAAGAGAGACCUGGAUUUGAGUCCAGCCCAGGUCAUGUUCCCAGCUCCCUCUCCUCUUGAUUUCAUCUAUUUACACAUUUAUGGGACUGUUCUGCUGUUUAGACAUUAAUGGCUUUCAGUUUAAAAUCUGAAUUGAUUGUGAAUAUCAUAAGCACACACUGCCUUCACUUAGACCUGUAAUAGUCAAAGGCCUUUUAGCUCUCGCUUUGUACAGUCAAUGUAGAACAGAUGUUUUCUUUUGUGUGUUCAUACUGUGUGAUUUUAUUGAUAAAUAAAUUCAGUUUUAACAUUGUCAGAAAGAUUUUACCAGUAACUGCUGCUCUGAUCUAUUUGCCUGUAAAUAGCCUAGCCAAGUUAUAAUUAUUUCCAGCUACCUGCUUGUAAGACAUAUUUCUUUCCAGAUAUCUGUUUUUAUUUUGUUAUUGAGAGUACUGAUGUUGUUAGUGACAUUUACACAAAAGCGAUCACUUGUAACCAUAAUUUUAACCGUUUUAAAUAAAGUUACAAAAAAUGUCAAUGGAAGACAGCAAGCUUUACAUUGUAAGUUGAUGAGUUGAUUUACUUGCCUCUGGUCUUGGAGCCUUUUAGAUGGAUGCUGAGGCUUUUUAGGAUGGGUAGAA